rnacentral:lncRNA from 1 species
GGGGGCUUCAUUUCUUAUUUCUUUAUUUUUUAGGCAACUUUACUGUAUUCUUUAUGUAUACACAUUGUCCACUAUUCUCUAUUCUUUACAUAUUAUCACAAAAUAAAAUCAUUAUACUCCAUUCUUUUUUCUUUUUUUUUAUGCCCCACCUACGAUAGUAGAGGGGCAUUAUGUUUUCUGGUCUGUGCCUCCGUUCGUUUGUCCGUCUGUCCGUCCGUCCGUCCGUCUGUCGUUGCGUUCGGUUAAAGUUUUUGGUCGAGGUAGUUUUUGAUGAAGCUGAAGUCCAAUCAACUUGAAACUUAGUACACAUGUUCCCCAUGUUAUGAUCUUUCUAAAAUUAAUGCCAAAUUAUAGUUUUGACCCCAAUUUCACGGUCCACUGAACAUAGAAAAUGAUAGUGGGAGUGGGGCAUCUGUG